GGCACUUGGUAUAGGGGUAAUAUGCCGCUGUCGGUAGCACGAGCUGUGAAGCAGCGGAGACCUCCGGCUCGACUCCGGAGAGUGCCA